rfam:Myotis brandtii contig245441, whole genome shotgun sequence.
CAUGCACCAGUGGGGUCCCUCAGCCUGGCCUGUGCCCUCUCACAAUCUGGAAUGUCAGACUGCCGGUUUCGGCCUGAUCCCUGCAGGCCAGGCUGAGGGACCCCACGGGUGCACA